AGAGUUUGAUCCUGGCUCAGGAUGAACGCUGGCGGCGUGCUUAACACAUGCAAGUCGAACGAUGAAACCGGAGCUUGCUCUGGUGGAUUAGUGGCGAACGGGUGAGUAACACGUGAGUAACCUGCCCUUGACUCUGGGAUAAGCGUUGGAAACGACGUCUAAUACCGGAUACGACGCGCGAAGGCAUCUUCUGCGCGUGGAAAGAAUUUCGGUCAAGGAUGGACUCGCGGCCUAUCAGCUAGUUGGUGAGGUAACGGCCCACCAAGGCGACGACGGGUAGCCGGCCUGAGAGGGUGACCGGCCACACUGGGACUGAGACACGGCCCAGACUCCUACGGGAGGCAGCAGUGGGGAAUAUUGCACAAUGGGCGCAAGCCUGAUGCAGCAACGCCGCGUGAGGGACGACGGCCUUCGGGUUGUAAACCUCUUUUAGUAGGGAAGAAGUGAAAGUGACGGUACCUGCAGAAAAAGCACCGGCUAACUACGUGCCAGCAGCCGCGGUAAUACGUAGGGUGCAAGCGUUAUCCGGAAUUAUUGGGCGUAAAGAGCUCGUAGGCGGUUUGUCGCGUCUGCUGUGAAAACUGGAGGCUCAACCUCCAGCCUGCAGUGGGUACGGGCAGACUAGAGUGCGGUAGGGGAGAUUGGAAUUCCUGGUGUAGCGGUGGAAUGCGCAGAUAUCAGGAGGAACACCGAUGGCGAAGGCAGAUCUCUGGGCCGUAACUGACGCUGAGGAGCGAAAGCGUGGGGAGCGAACAGGAUUAGAUACCCUGGUAG
rnacentral:rRNA from 1 species